rnacentral:tRNA from 1 species
CCCCUGCAAGGCAUAGCAUGGAGAGGUUCUUGCGGGUAUGGGACGCGGUG